rnacentral:rRNA from 1 species
CGACGAGGGGAGUGAAACAGUACCUGAAACCGAACGCCUACAAUCAGUUGGAGGGGCUUUACGCCCUGACAGCGUACCUUUUGUAUAAUGGGUCAUCGACUUGGUCUCACAAGCAAGCUUAAGCCGUUAGGUGUAGGCGUAGCGAAAGCGAGUCUUAAUAGGGCGUUGAGUUUGUGGGAUCAGACCCGAAACCGAGUGAUCUAGGCAUGGCCAGGUUGAAGGUAAGGUAACACUUACUGGAGGACCGAACCCACAUCCGUUGAAAAGGAUCGGGAUGAGCUGUGCCUAGGGGUGAAAGGCCAAUCAAACUCGGAGAUAGCUGGUUCUCUGCGAAAUCUAUUUAGGUAGAGCGUCAUCCGAAUACCCUCGGGGGUAGAGCACUGGAUGGGUAAUGGGGCCCCACAGGCUUACUGAUCCUAACCAAACUCCGAAUACCGAGGAGUACUAGAUGGCAGACACACGGCGAAUGCUAACGUCCGUCGUGAAGAGGGAAACAACCCUGACCUCCAGCUAAGGCCCCUAAUUCAUGGCUAAGUGGGAAAGCAGGUGGGACGACCAAAACAACCAGGAGGUUGGCUUAGAAGCAGCCAUCCUUUAAAGAUAGCGUAACAGCUCACUGGUCUAAAUAAGUUGUCCUGCGGCGAAGAUGUAACGGGGCUCAAGCCAUGAGCCGAAGCUGAGGAUGCAUUUAUUGCAUGGUAGCAGAGCGUAGUGUGACAUAAUUCCAUGUCUCCUUCACAGUUUUCGGACUGUAUUGGAGACGCGGAGUUUUCUGUGAAGCUGGCGCGUGAGCGAUCCGGUGGAGAGAUCACUAGUGAGAAUGAUGACAUGAGUAGCGACAAAGAGUGUGAGAGACACUCUCGCCGAAAGUCCAAGGGUUCCUGCUUAAAGCUAAUCUGAGCAGGGUAAGCCGACCCCUAAGGCGAGGCCGAAAGGCGUAGUCGAUGGGAACCAGGUUAAUAUUCCUGGGCCAGAUGGAAGUGACGGAUCUCGAGGGUAGUUCAUCCUUAUCGGAUUGAAUGGGCUGCUUAGAGGUUCCUGGAAAUAGCUCCAUCGCUAGAUCGUACCCUAAACCGACACAGGUGGACUGGUAGAGAAUACCAAGGCGCUUGAGAGAACUAUGUUGAAGGAACUCGGCAAAAUACCUCCGUAAGUUCGCGAGAAGGAGGCCCGGUUUCUAGGCAACUAGAGGCUGGGGGCACAAACCAGGGGGUGGCGACUGUUUAUUAAAAACACAGGGCUCUGCGAAGUCGCAAGACGACGUAUAGGGUCUGACGCCUGCCCGGUGCCUGAAGGUUAAGAGGAGAUGUGCAAGCAUUGAAUUGAAGCCCCGGUAAACGGCGGCCGUAACUAUAACGGUCCUAAGGUAGCGAAAUUCCUUGUCGGGUAAGUUCCGACCUGCACGAAUGGCGUAACGACUUCCCCGCUGUCUCCAACAUAGACUCAGCGAAAUUGAAUUACCGGUCAAGAUGCCGGUUACCCGCGGUUAGACGGAAAGACCCCGUGCACCUUUACUACAGCUUCACACUGGCAUUAGGCCGAACAUGUGCAGGAUAGGUGGUGGGCUUUGAAACCGAGACGCCAGUCUCGGUGGAGCCUCCCUUGAGAUACCACCCUUGUUCUGCUUGAUGUCUAACCGCGGACCGUUAUCCGGUUCCGGGACCCUGUGUGGCGGGUAGUUUGACUGGGGCGGUCGCCUCCUAAAUCGUAACGGAGGCGCGCGAAGGUUGGCUCAGAGCGGUCGGAAAUCGCUCGUUGAGUGCAAUGGCAGAAGCCAGCCUGACUGCAAGACUGACAAGUCGAGCAGAGUCGAAAGACGGCCAUAGUGAUCCGGUGGUCCCAAGUGGGAGGGCCAUCGCUCAACGGAUAAAAGGUACGCCGGGGAUAACAGGCUGAUACUGCCCAAGAGUCCAUAUCGACGGCAGUGUUUGGCACCUCGAUGUCGGCUCAUCUCAUCCUGGGGCUGGAGCAGGUCCCAAGGGUACGGCUGUUCGCCGUUUAAAGAGGUACGUGAGCUGGGUUUAGAACGUCGUGAGACAGUUCGGUCCCUAUCUUCCGUGGGUGUAGGAUACUUGAGAGGAGUUGCCCCUAGUACGAGAGGACCGGGGUGAACGAUCCACUGGUGGACCAGUUGUUAUGCCAAUAGCAGUGCUGGGUAGCUAUGAUCGGACAGGAUAACCGCUGAAGGCAUCUAAGCGGGAAGCCCCCCUCAAAACAAGGUAUCCCUGAGAGCCGAGGUAGACCACCUCGUCGAUAGGCCAGAGAUGUAAGCGUAGUAAUACGUUCAGUUGACUGGUACUAAUGGCUCGAUAGGCUUGAUUUG